GACUCUCGGCAACGGAUAUCUCGGCUCACGCAUCGAUGAAGAACGUAGCAAAAUGCGAUACUUGGUGUGAAUUGCAGAAUCCCGUGAACCAUCGAGUUUUUGAACGCAAGUUGCGCCCGAAGCCAUCUGGUUGAGGGCACGUCUGCCUGGGCGUCACAC
rnacentral:rRNA from 1 species